rnacentral:rRNA from 1 species
GGGGGGGGGUGGGGGGGGGCGGGACACGUGCAAGGCGAACGGAAAGGCCCUGCUUUUGUGGGGUGCUCGAGUGGCGAACGGGUGAGUAACCCGGGAGUAACCUGCCCUUGACUUUGGGAUAACUUCAGGAAACUGGGGCUAAUACCGGAUAGGAGCUCCUGCUGCAUGGGGGGGGUUGGAAAGGUUCGGCGGUUGGGGAGGGACUGGCGGCUUAUCAGCUUGUUGGUGGGGGAGUGGCUUACCAAGGCUUUGACGGGUAGCCGGCCUGAGAGGGUGACCGGCCACAUUGGGACUUAGAUACGGCCCAGACUCCUACGGGAGGCAGCAGUGGGGAAUAUUGCACAAUGGGCGGAAGCCUGAUGCAGCAACGCCGCGUGCGGGAUGACGGCCUUCGGGUUGUAAACCGCUUUCGCCUGUGACGAAGCGUGAGUGACGGUAAUGGGUAAAGAAGCACCGGCUAACUACGUG